rnacentral:lncRNA from 1 species
UUCAGUGUGUAAUACUAUAAAACAGAUCAAAAACCAAGGUGAGUUACAGCCUCGGAGUUGAUAUUUUGACAUUAAAAUUGCAUAGAAUGCUUGUAAAAAUACUUUUUUUUUAAUUAAUGUUAAGUGGCGUACAUUCAUCUAUUGUAUAACUUAACUUUGGCAACACAAUUUGAAACACAGUAUGUAAAGGACUUAAGAAAAAAGCGGGUUACACAAUAUGCCGGUUAUUUUGGCGAACCACCCUAAUAUAACCUAUAA